AGAAUUGUAAGCGUAUGAAGAAUAUUGCUUGGGAGCUUUGUAAGUAUGUUUGCUAAAUUCGUGCAAUGCUUCUUGCUUUCUUCAUCUUGAUGCAGCGUUCUUAUACUUCUGGAUUCAAGGAAUGUUACCGUUGUAGGAUCUGCUUUUGCAGAGACCGGUUGUAGUGGAAUACAGAGAAUAAGGAAUAUUGUGCUGCCCGAGGUAGGUGUGCCAUCGAGAAUAAACAUCCAUGUCCAGGAUAUUCUAUUCUAUGACAACUUGUCUUAGUGCGCGACAAUACCAGU
rnacentral:lncRNA from 1 species